GACGAACGCUGGCGGCGUGCUUAACACAUGCAAGUCGAACGGAAAGGCCCUGCUUUUGUGGGGUGCUCGAGUGGCGAACGGGUGAGUAACACGUGAGUAACCUGCCCUUGACUUUGGGAUAACUUCAGGAAACUGGGGCUAAUACCGGAUAGGAGCUCCUGCUGCAUGGUGGGGGUUGGAAAGUUUCGGCGGUUGGGGAUGGACUCGCGGCUUAUCAGCUUGUUGGUGGGGUAGUGGCUUACCAAGGCUUUGACGGGUAGCCGGCCUGAGAGGGUGACCGGCCACAUUGGACCUGGGAUACGGCCCGGCUUCUUCGGGGGGCAAGAGGGGGGAAAUAUUGCACAUUGGGCGGAGGCCUGAUGCGGAACGGCGGGGGGGGGGAUAACGGCCUUCGGGUUGUAACCCGCUUUCGCCUGUACCGAGGCGUAGGUGACGGAAAGGGGAAAGAAGCACCGGCUAACUACGUG
rnacentral:rRNA from 1 species